rnacentral:lncRNA from 1 species
AAAAUUUCAGUUAUGAAGUAACAAUGAAAAGAACUUUAUGGAAGGGUUGAGAACCACUGUUCUAGAAGAACCUGGGGCUCUUGGGGUAUCUCUACAGAGCUCUGGAACUGCCCUGAAGAAGCUCCAGAGAGAGGUCCUAGCUUGUCUUUUCUGUUCUUCCCCUGUGCUGUGUGACAUUGAAUGAGUCCUCUCCCCACUCUGGACCUUCAAGUCUCGUCUGCAGGAGGCAGGCCUGGAGGAUAGCGCUCAUCAAGGCAAAAAGCCUCUGGCCUGAGAACGCUAAGUCUCUGGGUCAAAGCCAGAGCUGUCAUCCAUCCCCAGUGGUGGUGAGUUAGAGUGACAUAUUUAGGGGUUUAUACAAACAGUCCAAAGCCACUGGUGGGCUGGUGCUCCAGCUGCUGAAGGGCUAGUCCCUGAGGACUCUACCUGAAUAAAGCGAGAGGCCCUCAGCCUGAGAUCCGUGACACUCUCUCGGAACAAAUGCUCGUGAACAAGGAAGGAUGGAACCACACCAGGACAGGAGUGAAUGUCUCAGCACCAGCUAUAAUACAGGUCAGAUACAGGCAAGUAGCUCACACACACGCACAUAUCCACCCACCAUGCACGCCCUCUAACUACAGCAAUAGUUCUCAACCUGUGGGUUGUGACCCCCCUUUGGGGUCUAGUGACCAUUCCACAGAGGUCACCUACGACCACUGGAAAAUAUAGAUGUUUACAUUAUGAUUCAUAACAGUGGCCAAAUUACAUUUAUGAAGUGACAAUGAAAUUAAUUUUAUGGUGGGGGAGGUCACAACAUGAAGGACUGUAUUGAAGGGUCACAGCCUUAGGAAGGUUGAGAACUACUGAGCUUCAGUAUUAGACCAGGGCCCGGGUCAGACCAGAAAGGAAUACUACAGAACCCGUGUGCCUAGACAGCCCCAAACCAAUAGCAAGGACAGCAUGAAGGCUACCUGCCCUGAGACAAAGAAGGACACACAGGGCCCCAAGGAACCUAAGGCCUCCGCUCUCCCUAAAGAGACAAGAAUGGGUGCAACUAGUUACCCAGGGAGUAGCGCAGGCUGCCCCAUCUCUCUGCCGUUCCAACAUAAAGUGGCCAGGUGAAAGGACCCUUAAGGUUAUCUAGGAUACGUCCCAUUGUACAGACAUCUGGGUUUCUGAGCGCAUGCGCCCAUGCUAGGAGCCCGGUGAGUCGCAAGACCACUAAAUGUUCAGGACAGGAGCAGCAGGGUGAAGUCUGAGCCUGCCAAUGAAGACUUCUAGAGAGACGAGGGCCAGAAAGGUAGGAGCCCAAGUAAAGAAACCAGGAAGUACAGAGCUAAAGAUGAGAAUAAAACAAGCCAGACCCAGGCUGGAGAGAUGGCUUGGUGGUUAAGAGCACUGACUGCUCUUCCAAAGGUCCUGAGUUCAAUUCCCAGCAACUACAUAAUGGCUCACAACCAUCUGUAAUGGGAUCUGAUGCCCUCUUCUGGUGUGUCUGAGGACAGCUACAGUGUGCUCAUAAAAAUAAGAUAAAUCUUAAAAAAAAAAAAAAAAAAGACAAGCCAGCAGUUCUCAACCUGUGGGCUGCAAUCCCUUUGGGUUCUCAUAUCAGAUAUCUACAUAAUGAUUCAUAACAGUAGCAAAAUUACAGUUAUGAAAUAUCACCAAAAAUAACUUUAUGGUUGGGGGGGUCACCACAACAUGUGGGACUGUAUUAAAGAGUCACAGCAUCAGGAAGGUUGGGACCCACUGGGCUAAGCGCAAAGACUGUAGUAUGGGAAGCCUACCAGGUGUGGGUAGGAGUUUGCCCUAGUUAUUGCCCCCCGCCCCCAGCACUGUGUCUGUCAAGGUCUGUCUGUCCUGCCUGACAAGCUGAGGUCACCCCAAACCCACUGAUCUGUGUCUCCCCCUUACUCUACGAGAGGCCGGUUAGAGAGCUGCCUUCCCGGCCUUCAUCAUUUCCCAUGUCCAAAUUUCUUUCCCUCGCUUUUUUUCUUGCUAAGAGAUAAUUUUUAAAAGCGAGUCCCUGAGCUCAGCCCUUUCCAGCCUCGUUAAUUCCGUGCCCUACCUCAUUUGUUCCGAGGACCUACUUUCUCCUCCCAGCUGCCUCCUCCCAGCUGCCGCCCUCCUCCCACCAGCUAUAUUCGGGUUUCUGCUCCGUCCUUGGUAACCUUGUGCAUCACUUAGAGCACUGCGUGUGCUUUUCUCUGCCAAGGAACUCUGGAUACAAAGGAACCGCAGAGGUCAAGCAUCUGCCCGCAUCCAAACCCUUCCUCACACCUGAAAUCAAGACCCCUUUUCCUGUGUGCCAAGCCCAAGGUGAUCUGGUCUCAACUACAAGGGCAGGAUGCUUGCUGCCCACUCAGCCUGCAUGGACACAUGGUAGCUUUCCCUAAGCCCAGCUUCUUCCAGAAAGACAGAGGCCGCUGGAGACUCACCGUGCUCCCUUAGCAUGGAUUCCCUGAGAGUGCUCUGUCUGAGUCUAGUCUGCAAGAAGAGGGCCCCUCACAUCUUCCUUGGGCAUCUUUUGGACUUGAUGUUCUUGGGAUGAGCAGGACGGGACCAAGCAUCACCCUUGACUUGCAUCACAACUGGUACCAAGAUACUCAUCCCUGCCCCUUCUGCAGCCACUGUGCUGGGGAGCAGUAGGGUCUAGAAACAUCUUCCCUAUUUGCACUGGAUACUGCCAUGGCCUCUCCCUGCUCUGGAGACACACGGCCCUCAGGAAGCACUGAAAGAAGUAAUGAGACAGAGCGGCAAGACACUUGACAGCAGCCAGCCCUCCCAGCCUGAGGGCAUUCCCUGCCCUGUCCAGCAUCUGCUUCUGCAUCCUGAGCAAUGCACACUCCCUCUGCAGAAGGACCCAACAAAUCAAGGUGCAAUUCCACAGCAGUUCAGAGAGAACCAGAGUAUAUUUGGCCUAUAUACAGAGCAACCCGUGAGGGAUUACAGGAAUAUCAACAGUCAACAAGCCCGGCCAUAGUGAGAGUUUUCAAGAGACCCAGCAGACCUGAAGAAGGCGGCGGCUUGGCUCCGAGGAUAGCCCUGCACAGCACUCCGAUCCUUUUGCCUCCUGCUCCUGUAUCCUUUCCACCCCUCCUUUCUGCAGGGGUCCGUGGUCCUUGGAGGGAGUAAUAAAGAUGUCUGACUGUUCUCCAACUCCAGCAAAGUACAGAAACCUUGAGCCCUCUCGGCAUCGCAAGUCUCGGGGUAUUCCUUACACAUACACA